ensembl:lncRNA
GGGGGAGAGGACAGAGAAAGAGGGAGGUAGAAGGUAUACUAUACAGAUAGGAUGGAGAGAAUAGCAGGAGAGGACAGAGAAAGAGGGAGGUAGAAGGUAUACUAUAGAGAUAGGAUGGAGAGAAUAGCAGGAGGGGGAGAGGACAGAGAAAGAGGGAGGUAGAAGGUAUACUAUACAGAUAGGAUGGAGAGAAUAGCAGGAGAGGACAGAGAAAGAGGGAGGUAGAAGAUAUACUAUAGAGAUAGGAUGGAGAGAAUAGCAGGAGGGGGGAGAGGACAGAGAAAGAGGGAGGUAGAAGGUAUACUAUACAGAUAGGAUGGAGAGAAUAGCAGGAGAGGACAGAGAAAGAGGGAGGUAGAAGGUGUACUAUAGAGAUAGGAUGGAGAGAAUAGCGGGAGAGGACAGAGAAAGAGGGAGGUAGA